rnacentral:miRNA from 1 species
AACUGGGCUGAAUUCAGAUGA